rnacentral:lncRNA from 1 species
CGCGGAUUGUGGGAGGGAGGAGGCUCCGAACACUCGGGAAGCCUAGUGGACGAGGGGACUGGGGACAAGGGGGCUGCCAACACCCAGCGACGGAGACGGGGACUCCGACAUGGCACUUGUUGGAGGGUUUCAUGAAACUCAGGAACUGGGUCUCUUCUGAGGUAGACAGACCACAACUGCAGAGCAUCGUCAGACAGGAGAUAAAUACGUCCAUGUACAACACGCAGCAAAAUGAGGACCUCUUGAGGGAAGCCCAGUCACCCAAAGGAACGGAUGAUUCUCUAACUUCAGAUGGCCCACACCGCAUUCCCCUUCGAGGCAGCCCAGCAACCUGGGGAAGGAACAUAGUGUGGCGGGAAGAGUCCUGCCCAAGGCCACCAGCCCAAAAGGGGCAGAAUUGGCACUUGCACUCAAGGACUUUGCUUCAGCCCUGAACACAGCCU